UGUGUGGGCUGCCUGCACUCAGCUUCUGGGUCUCGUGUAGAACGAUUUUUUGUUCUUUUCCAACUCGAUUUUUAACUCCCUAAACUAGUAGGAUGUUCCAACGGGUGAAGCAACAGUGCUGACGGCAGUUUCAGUGUCAAGUUUUCAUGCCAUGACCACUGGGACGGAAACCAUUAUGACAUUGCCUUGGACAUCAAACUAAACCAUCUCAUUCUGGCUUUUGAGGUGGAUUCUAACCUUGAAAUCUCAGAAGGACAGGUCUAAGAUGGAUGCAGCCUCCAUAGGAUGCAACCUUGCAUUUGAGAAACACCCAUAGAACGGUCAACUUACCCCAUACUCUAACCUGAAUGCAGGGAUCAUAAAACUUUAUCUUUUACCUUAAUUGUUAGAUGGGUGUUGAUACCAAACUUUUUUUUUCGUCUACCCAGGAGAAAGUCAUGGGUUCUGCUGCUAAGGUUGUCAUAAAGUAUGCUUUUUUCCAUUUGUUGCAUUUGGCAAUAAUAUCAAAAGACAUAAAUUCUGAAAGAGAUAAGAUAAUUUUCAAAGCAUUAACAUGAAUAUAAAAGCAUUAAGUCAUUAAUGACCAUCUUUUAUUAUUGUUUAUUUAAAGCGUCUUUUAUUCUGCUUACCUGGCUCUGGUGCUUGGUAGUCUUCUCAAACCUCUGAAUCAAGACCACCAUGAGAGGCCUUCUGAAGACCAUCAUUACUCUACAGAUCCAGUUGUCUUUACUAUGAGAUAGAACUGAACUGGAGUCUGUGAACUAAUGCUGUGUUCGAGACAACUUGGAUGUUGGAUAUUAUUGACCUCAAACCCGUAAGAAGUCUGGAACAGCAAACAAAGUUGAGUAUCAGACGUUGAACUAUUUUUACAGCACAUAUUUAUGAACAUGAAUGUUAAAUUAUCCAGUAACCAUUUUCUGCCAUAAUUGGCUCAAGAGCACAAACUUCUCCUGGUGUCUCAUUAUGUGGUAAACACGCAAAUGUGAUACGUGAUUGACUGGAAUGCAUUGAGGUCGGAGGUAGGAUAUUUAAUGACAUAACAUCAGAAAUCAGAGUUGUCUGUAACACUGCACAAUAUUUCACAGAAUUGUCACCACCUGAUUAUCCUCCCAUGUUUUUAACACAACCAUUGAUUGGUCACAAAAAAAAGAAAUCUAUAUUUAAUGUUAAAAAACACUUACUGUGUUAGAUAACUCUGCUCUUGGAAGUCAGCUUAAGUGAACAAAUGGUAAUGUUAAUGAAAAGUUCAUUUUUGUCACAGUUGCAAACUAACAACCACACAGAAUAUGAAGAAUAGCCAGAACUGUGGUAAUAAGCUAGCCCUAAAAUGUUGUGAGAAUCUUGAUGUAUUGGACACAGGUGUGUAGUAUCUGUUAUUUAUACCACGGGUCUGUUGAAUGCUGUAUUCUGAUUGGCUGAGAAAUGUUCCGUGGGUAUGCAUUCAUUUCUGAUAACCACACACCUAACUUGUCAAAUGUCUUAAAAAUAGGCACCAGAGCAAUGUUUGUGGUAACCGUGGUAUUAGAGGAAUAAUUGACUCCGGUCCUUUGAAUUAUUUGAAAUAAAGCACACCCGCAGUGUAACGGCACUCCGCUUCGCAUCGUGCCGCAUUGCACCUUGGGUGUGCAUUAUUUUCUUAUAAUUCAAUGGCCCGUCGUCAAUUAUUCCUUACAUAUUGACGGUUGACAGGUUUGUUUGCAUGUAAUUGCAUUAUUAUUAAUUUGGGGUUGAUAGUCCAAUGUCGAUUUUUUUCUUUUUCUUUUUAGAUCAUUUCUCUUUUUAAUGCAGAACUUAAGGAUGAACCACCCUGAUCUACUAAGAUGCACAGAUUCAACUCUGGCCCAGCAUCAUCCCCAUACCUCAUCUGCCAUCAGUUUAAUUUAAUGUCUGUCAAUUGCAAAUGCUAUUUAUUUCAGUUAUAUUACAACUUAAUUUUAAUUGUGUAAAGCUGGGGUUUCCAAACUUUUCAUUUCAAAACCUAUUAGACAAGUGUAAUCUAUUCUAGACCCACUAAAAUAUUUUUAAAUAUACAUUUUUUUAAUGGGGUAAAACACAUUUGUUCUCUUUCAGUGGAGUCAUUUUAUUUUCAUAAUAUUUCAUAAUGUAAAGCAGUGGUUCUUAACGUUAUUCCUCGAAGCCCAUUGCUCUGCACAUUUUGUAUGACUCUUUUAUCUGACAGACUCAGUUCAGUUCAUUGAGAUCUCUUCUAAUGAGCUGAUGAUUUGAAUCAGGUGUGUUAAAUAAGGGAGACAUACAAAAUGUGCUGGGCAGUCUGCCUCGAGGAAUAACGUUAAGAACCACUGAUGUAAAGUAAAUAUAAGUUUAUUUGCAAAACCAAAUAUUUUAUGGUAUAUUCUUUCAAAACCAUUGUCAUAGUUAAUUAUUAAUUUGGCCAAACUGUUGUUGCAUCAUUACGGUGUGCAACACACCUUAACCUACUGUGUGACGGACAAGUGGGUCCUCCUGACACACAAUUUAAAAUCCCCUGGUGUACCGAAUGUUGUAUUGUAAUUAAAGUUGCAUCUAAGUCUUGUGUAA